GAUGAACGCUGGCGGCGUGCUUAACACAUGCAAGUCGAACGGAGUGCUCAUGAUGGAGGAUUCGUCCAACGGAUUGAGUUACUUAGUGGCGGACGGGUGAGUAACGCGUAUGCAACUUGCCUCUUAGUGGGGAAUAACCCGGAGAAAUCCGGACUAAUACCGCAUACACUUAGUUAUCCGCAUGGAUGAUUAAGGAAAGAUUUAUUGCUAAGAGAUAGGCAUGCGUUCCAUUAGUUAGUUGGUGAGGUAACGGCUCACCAAGGCAUCGAUGGAUAGGGGAGCUGAGAGGCUUAUCCCCCACAUUGGGACUGAGACACGGCCCAA
rnacentral:rRNA from 1 species